rnacentral:misc_RNA from 1 species
GUAGGUGAACCUGCGGAAGGAUCAUUAUCACGUAUCCACGUAUAAACCAUUGUGAACCGUUCUAUUACCUUUGUUGUGUAAAUGAAUGAAAUUGGUGUGUUCUCUCCGGAGUC